CGUGCUUCUCGGCUCUCCGAGUUAAGAUCAUGUGUAUUAACUCUUCUUUGCAGUGUAAUUUCUGCAACGGUUUCUAAACUGAAACUAAUGAAAUUGCCUGUAUUUUUCACCUCCGGAUGGGUGCUGUGAACUUGCUCAAUCCCGUCCACGUGUUAUGCCUCGUAUUGCAUUAAUCGUUGGUGUUCAACAGUAACAGU
rnacentral:snRNA from 1 species